UACGUAGGGGGCAAGCGUUGUUCGGAUUCAUUGGGCGUAAAGGGUGCGUAGGCGGCGCGGUAAGUCGGGUGUGAAAUCUCGGAGCUUAACUCCGAAACUGCAUUCGAUACUGCCGUGCUUGAGGACUGGAGAGGAGACUGGAAUUUACGGUGUAGCGGUGAAAUGCGUAGAUAUCGUAAGGAAGACCAGUGGCGAAGGCGGGUCUCUGGGCCGAUACUGACGCUGAGGAGCGAAAGCGUGGGGAGCGAACAGG
rnacentral:rRNA from 1 species